GUGUCAGCAGCCGCGGUAAUACGAAGGGGGCAAGCGUUGUUCGGAUUUACUGGGCGUAAAGGGCGCGUAGGCGGAUCUUUAAGUCAGAGGUGAAAGCCCUGGGCUCAACCCGGGAAUUGCCUUUGAGACUGGGGAUCUUGAGUAUGGGAGAGGGUGGCGGAAUACCCAGUGUAGAGGUGAAAUUCGUAGAUAUUGGGUAGAACACCAGUGGCGAAGGCGGCCACCUGGCCCAUAACUGACGCUGAGGCGCGAAAGCGUGGGGAGCAAACAGGAUUAGAAACCCCAGUAGUCC
rnacentral:rRNA from 1 species